rnacentral:rRNA from 1 species
UGUUAGGGUGGCAUCACUUUAACAUUAAAGUCAUAGCGGCAAAAGAUGAGCAUGCUUCCCAUUAGCUAGUUGGUAAGGUAACGGCUUACCAAGGCGACGAUGGGUAGGGGUCCUGAGAGGGAGAUCCCCCACACUGGUACUGAGACACGGACCAGACUCCUACGGGAGGCAGCAGUGAGGAAUAUUGGUCAAUGGGCGCAAGCCUGAACCAGCCAUGCCGCGUGCAGGAUGACGGUCCUAUGGAUUGUAAACUGCUUUUGUACAGGAAGAAACAGUUCUACGUGUAGAACCUUGACGGUACUGUAAGAAUAAUGAUCGGCUAACUCCGUGCCAGCAGCCGCGGUAAUACGGAGGAUCCAAGCGUUAUCCGGAAUCAUUGGGUUUAAAGGGUCCGUAGGCGGUUUAGUAAGUCAGUGGUGAAAGCCCAUCGCUCAACGGUGGAACGGCCAUUGAUACUGCUAGACUUGAAUUAUUGGGAAGUAACUAGAAUAUGUAGUGUAGCGGUGAAAUGCUUAGAGAUUACAUGGAAUACCAAUUGCGAAGGCAGGUUACUACCAAUGGAUUGACGCUGAUGGACGAAAGCGUGGGGAGCGAACAGGAUUAGAUACCCUGGUAGUCCACGCCGUAAACGAUGGAUACUAGCUGUUGGUAGCAAUAUCAGUGGCUAAGCGAAAGUGAUAAGUAUCCCACCUGGGGAGUACGAACGCAAGUUUGAAACUCAAAGGAAUUGACGGGGGCCCGCACAAGCGGUGGAGCAUGUGGUUUAAUUCGAUGAUACGCGAGGAACCUUACCAAGGCUUAAAUGUAGAUUGACCGGUUUGGAAACAGAUCUUUCGCAAGACAAUUUACAAGGUGCUGCAUGGUUGUCGUCAGCUCGUGCCGUGAGGUGUCAGGUUAAGUCCUAUAACGAGCGCAACCCCUGUUGUUAGUUGCCAGCGAGUCAUGUCGGGAACUCUAACGAGACUGCCAGUGCAAACUGUGAGGAAGGUGGGGAUGACGUCAAAUCAUCACGGCCCUUACGCCUUGGGCUACACACGUGCUACAAUGGCCGGUACAGAGAGCAGCCACUUCGUGAGGAGGAGCGAAUCUAUAAAGCCGGUCACAGUUCGGAUCGGAGUCUGCAACUCGACUCCGUGAAGCUGGAAUC